GGACGUUGUUUCGAGAUGAACACUUCGAUGUGGGGGAUUGUUUAGCUCGAUCUACAUUUAAAGCGGGUAGAUGAGUCAUGGAUGCUUGGAGAGUCCCGGUUGCCAGUCCAACGUCACGUUCGAGGAUAGUCUUCUUUUUGGUUUUGUUACUGUUUGGGUGGUAUAUUGAUUUUGCGUAUUUCGUUUUCCAAUAAGUCGAUGUGGAUUUUGGAGUCUAGUCUGCGUAUUGCAGGUAUUUUAGUUAGUGACUUUGCUGGUCUUACAUUCA